UGGACCAAUACGCAAUAACAAUUCUAAAUCACUCAUUAAUUCUAUUAUUUUAGUUAGGUUUGUGAUGUAACUUUUCCAUAAUAGAUAAGUAUUUUGUUUAAAUAUUGUAAACCCCCCACCGCUUAAAGGGUUUGAACUUGUUAUGUAUGUAUUUAAACAAUUUACAUUUAGUGGAUUAGUUCUUGAUUUUUUUGCUCGAACCAACUGUGUGGGGUCUGCAAAUUUAUAAAUCUGUUCAAAUUCUGUUUCAUACUUUCUGAGCUGCGGGUGAUCGAACAACACCUUUGCGUCUUUCUUGGUGUCGGGGGUAACCAUCGCCAAGGGUGGAGGUAGUAGGGUAUUGUAAUAAUCACCUUUAACGGUGGGAAAUGUAGUAAUUUUUUCA
rnacentral:rRNA from 1 species